GUAAUGUCUGGGAAACUGCCUGAUGGAGGGGGAUAACUACUGGAAACGGUGGCUAAUACCGCAUAACGUCGCAAGACCAAAGAGGGGGACCUUCGGGCCUCUUGCCAUCAGAUGUGCCCAGAUGGGAUUAGCUAGUUGGUGAGGUAACGGCUCACCAAGGCGACGAUCCCUAGCUGGUCUGAGAGGAUGACCAGCCACACUGGAACUGAGACACGGUCCAGACUCCUACGGGAGGCAGCAGUGGGGAAUAUUGCACAAUGGGCGCAAGCCUGAUGCAGCCAUGCCGCGUGUAUGAAGAAGGCCUUCGGGUUGUAAAGUACUUUCAGCGGGGAGGAAGGUGUUGUGGUUAAUAACCGCAGCAAUUGACGUUACCCGCAGAAGAAGCACCGGCUAACUCCGUGCCAGCAGCCGCGGUAAUACGGAGGGUGCAAGCGUUAAUCGGAAUUACUGGGCGUAAAGCGCACGCAGGCGGUCUGUCAAGUCGGAUGUGAAAUCCCCGGGCUCAACCUGGGAACUGCAUUCGAAACUGGCAGGCUUGAGUCUUGUAGAGGGGGGUAGAAUUCCAGGUGUAGCGGUGAAAUGCGUAGAGAUCUGGAGGAAUACCGGUGGCGAAGGCGGCCCCCUGGACAAAGACUGACGCUCAGGUGCGAAAGCGUGGGGAGCAAACAGGAUUAGAUACCCUGGUAGUCCACGCCGUAAACGAUGUCUACUUGGAGGUUGUGCCCUUGAGGCGUGGCUUCCGGAGCUAACGCGUUAAGUAGACCGCCUGGGGAGUACGGCCGCAAGGUUAAAACUCAAAUGAAUUGACGGGGGCCCGCACAAGCGGUGGAGCAUGUGGUUUAAUUCGAUGCAACGCGAAGAACCUUACCUGGUCUUGACAUCCACGGAAGUUUUCAGAGAUGAGAAUGUGCCUUCGGGAACCGUGAGACAGGUGCUGCAUGGCUGUCGUCAGCUCGUGUUGUGAAAUGUUGGGUUAAGUCCCGCAACGAGCGCAACCCUUAUCCUUUGUUGCCAGC
rnacentral:rRNA from 1 species